UACAGUUUUUUUUUUUUCAUAUGCAUGUAUUUGCUGGGGAAAAUCUGUAUGAUAGAGGGAGUGGGUGAGGCAGUCAGGUACCAAGGAAGGCCCCUCACAUGGUGUGUUGGUCCCCCUUUCCCAGCAGGCAGGGGCUCCUGCGAGAGGGGGCUCUGUCAGCCUCUGUGUUACAUCACAGGCCUCGUGCUGUGCUGUGGAUGUCAGGAAAGAGUUAGUGGGGUCAGGGCCCAUCUGGGUUUCCUGUUCUUGGGUAUGAGGUACAGUGAUUUCCCAGAAUUACCUCUGCCUGUGGCAUCCCCCAUGAGAAUCCAUCAUGAAGAGCUGGCUGUGUGUGCGGCCAUGGUGGAUGCCUUUCCUGGAGCACAUGGAUAGGACGGAGUGUGCUGUGGGCAAGUCUAGCCCCCUCCUGCCCUGCAGCUCCUUAGCCAUCCCUAAUGGGAUUCUUCUUAGUCAAUCUCAGAAGUCACCAGUUUAAGCAGCUGUCCUGUGUACCGUCUGCUCCCCUGUUAAGAGCCAGAUGUCACCAUUCUGUUUCAGGGAGCCAUGCUCAUUGGUCCUCCUGGUACCGGCAAGACCCUUCUUGCCAAAGCAACUGCAGGGGAGGCCACUGUGCCCUUCAUCACUGUGAACGGGUCUGAGUUCCUGGAAAUGUUUGUUGGCGUUGGGCCAGCAAGGGGUGCAACUCUGCCACCAACGUCGUGACGUUGGCUGGCACCAAAUGCCCUGGCAUCCUGGACCCGGCCCUGAUGCGGCCUGGCCGGUUUGAUCGCCAGAUUUACAUUGGUCCCCCUGACAUCAAAGGCAGGGUCCUCCAUCUUUAAGGUCCACCUACGCCCACUGAAGCUGGACGAGAGCCUCAAUAAGGAUGUCCUGGCGAGGAAGCUGGCAGCGCUCACCCCAGGCUUCACUGAGGGGGAUGACUCAGCAGGGCUGACUCAGCACUACCCCUCAACAGAGAUGACUUAGCUUUGCCCCUCAGCAGGGAUGACUCUGAUGACUCUGCCCCUCAGCAGGGAUUACUAAGCACUACCUUUUAACAGGGAUGGCUCAGCACUGCCCCCCGACAGAGAUGACUGAGCAGGGAUGACUCAGCACUGCACUCCAACUGAGAGGACUCAGCAGGGAUGACUCAGCACUGCCCCCCAACGGAGAUGACUCAACAGGGAUGACUCAAUGCUGCUCCUCAGCAGGGAUGACUUAGCAGGGAUGACUCAGCACUGCCCCCAACGGAGAUGACUCAACAGGAUGAUCAUGCUGCUCCAGCAGGGAUGACUUAGCAGGGAUGACUCAGCACUGCCCCUAACGGAGAUGACUCAGCAGGGAUGACUCAGCACUGCCCCCAACGGGGAUGACUCAGCAGGGAUGAUUCAGCAGAGAUGACUCAGUACUGCCCCUCAGCAGGGAUGACUCAGCAGGGAUGACCAGUAUUGCCCCUGAAUGGGGAUGACUCAGCAGGAAUGAUGCAGCAGGGAUGACUCAGCACUGCCCCUCAGCCAGGAUGACUCAGCAGGGAUGACUCAGCACUGCCCCUCAGCCAGGAUGACUCAGCAGGGAUGGCUCAGCACUGCCCCUCAGCAGGGAUGGCUCAGCACUGCCCCGCAGCAGGGAUGACUCAGCAGGGAUGGCUCAGUACUGCCUCUCAGCAGGGAUGACUAAGCAGGAAUGACUCAGCAGGGAUGACUUAGCACUAACCCCAACGGAGAUGACUCAGCAGAGGUGGCUCAGCAGGGAUGACUCAGCACUGCUCCUCAGCAGGGAUGACUCAGCAGGGAUGACUCAGGACUGCCCCCCCAACAGUGAUGACUCAGGAGGGAUCACUCAGCACUGCCCCCAACAGGUAUGGCUCAGCAGGGAUGACUCAGCACUGCCCCCCCAACGGUGAUGACUCAGCAGGGAUGACUCAGCACUGCCCCCCAACAGGUAUGGCUCAGCAGGGAUGACUCACCACUGCCCCCAACAGGGAUAACUCAGCAGGGAUGACUCAGCACUGCCCCCAACGUGGAUGGCUCAGGAGGGAUGACUCAGCACUGCCACCAACAGGGAUGGCUCAGCAGGGAUGACUCAUUACCGCCCCCCCACGGGGAUGACUCAGCAGGGAUGACUCAGCACUGCCACUCAACAGGGGUAGCUCAGUAGGGAUGACUCAGCACUGCCCCCCAAUGGGGUUGACUCAGCAGGGAUGACUCAGCACUGCCAACUGCCCCCCAACGGGGAUGACUCAGCAGGGAUGACUCAGCACUGCACUCAACAGGGGUGGCUCAGCAGGGAUGACUCAGCACUGCCCCCAACGGGGAUGACUCAGCAGGGAUGACUCGUCACUGCCCCCAACGGGGAUGACUCAGCACUGCCCCUCUACAGGGAUGACUCAGCAGGGAUGACUCAGCACUGCCCCUCAGCAGGGAUGACUCAGCAGUGAUAACUCAGCACUGCCCCUCAGCAAGGAUGACUCAGCAGGGAUGAUUCAGCAGAGAUAACUUGGGGAUGACUCUGACUGCCCCUCAGCAUGGAUGAGUCUGUUUUGCUCCAAUGGAAGCAUCCAUAGUGUCCAUCAGCAGGUGAAUGGCUAAAGUGGUAUAUACUGUAGUCAAAUUCUGCUAUAAAAAGGAAUAAAGUAUUGAUGCAUGCCACAACAUGGGUGAACCUGGAAAAUACUGUUCUAAAUGCAAGAGGCCAGGAACAAAAGGCCACAUAAUAUAUGUUCCCAUUUAUGUGAAAUGUGCAGAAUAAUAAUAAAAAUGUAUAGAAUAGCAAAUCUGUAGGGACAGACAUGAAGUGAGUGGUUGCCAGAAGUGGAAAUGAGAGUUAACUAUAAAUAGCAUAGGGUACCUUACAGAGAUGAUGGAAAUGUCCUAAAACUAGAUUAUGGCAAUGGUUGCACCACAUGAUCCGUUUAUUAAAAAUCGUUGAUGUGUGUGUGUAAAAUGGAUGGAUUUUAUGAUUUAUAAAUUAUACCUUAAUAAAGGUUAAC
rnacentral:sRNA from 1 species